rnacentral:tRNA from 1 species
CGGGGCAUAGCGCAGAUGGCUAGCGCGCGUCGUUCGGGACGACGAGGUCGCGGGUUCAAGUCCCGCUGCCCCGA